rnacentral:rRNA from 1 species
AUGAGCUCCGUCCAACUGCUUCAUCGCCUCGGCUGCAUAUCUGUCUCUCUCCCUCCGGCGGUGCUGCUGACCCGGCGCAUCUGUCGCCGCGUUCCUCCCCGCCGCGUCGGCGUACAACCGGCGGCUCUCCCCGUCGCUGCGGCCCCCGGCUCACCCGCAGGCGGCGUCUCACGUCGCCCAGCGGCCAGAUCCCCCCCAACGCCGCCGACCGCCGCUCGCCCUCCUCGCCAUCUUCAAGCUCUGACCCGUGGCAGUGCACUUCAACCUGGGGCCAACGACCCAGCGGCCUGCGGCAGCGGUGGCUAUGGCCGGCUGCUGCUGCUGCUAGGAGCCCGGCCCGCAGCCACAAUAGCACGCCGACCAGCCAUCAUGUCUGUUGAAUCAAUGUCUCUCACUAACACUGGGAAACCGAAUUAUGCAAGUGGAAGGAGGAUGCUUUUGGGCGAUACACCCUACUUAUGUAGGAAGAAAUGA